AGACCCGAAACCCGGUGAUCUAGCCAUGGGCAGGUUGAAGGUUGGGUAACACUAACUGGAGGACCGAACCGACUAAUGUUGAAAAAUUAGCGGAUGACCUGUGGCUGGGGGUGAAAGGCCAAUCAAACCGGGAGAUAGCUGGUUCUCCCCGAAAGCUAUUUAGGUAGCGCCUCGUGAAUUCAUCUCCGGGGGUAGAGCACUGUUUCGGCUAGGGGGCCAUCCCGGCUUACCAACCCGAUGCAAACUGCGAAUACCGGAGAAUGUUAUCACGGGAGACACACGGCGGGUGCUAACGUCCGUCGUGAAGAGGGAAACAACCCAGACCGCCAGCUAAGGUCCCAAAGUCAUGGUUAAGUGGGAAACGAUGUGGGAAGGCCCAGACAGCCAGGAUGUUGGCUUAGAAGCAGCCAUCAUUUAAAGAAAGCGUAAUAGCUCACUGGUCGAGUCGGCCUGCGCGGAAGAUGUAACGGGGCUAAACCAUGCACCGAAGCUGCGGCAGCGACACUAUGUGUUGUUGGGUAGGGGAGCGUUCUGUAAGCCUGUGAAGGUGUGCUGUGAGGCAUGCUGGAGGUAUCAGA
rnacentral:rRNA from 1 species